rnacentral:rRNA from 1 species
GACGAACGCUGGCGGCGUGCUUAACACAUGCAAGUCGAACGGAAAGGCCCCGUUGGGGGUAUUCGAGUGGCGAAAGGGUGAGUAACACGUGAGUAACCUGCGCUUGACUUUGGGAUAAAUUCAGGAAACUGGGGCUAAUACAGGAUAGGAAUCCUUGCUGCAGGGGGGGGGUUGGAAAGAUUCGGCGGUUUUGGAUGGACUCGCGGCUUAUCAGCUUGUUGGUGGGGUAGUGGCUUACCAAGGCUUUGACGGGUAGCCGGCCUGAGAGGGCGACCGGCCACAUUGGGACUGAGAUACGGCCCAGACUCCUACGGGAGGCAGCAGUGGGGAAUAUUGCACAAUGGGCGGAAGCCUGAUGCAGCAACGCCGCGUGCGGGAUGACGGCCUUCGGGUUGUAAACCGCUUUCAGCAGGGGCGAAGCUUGUGGUGACGGUACCUGCAGAAGAAGCACCGGCUAACUACGUG